rnacentral:rRNA from 1 species
CUCAGGAUGAACGCUGGCGGCGUGCUUAACACAUGCAAGUCGAACGAAGACAUCUGAGUGCUUGCACUUGGAUGGACUGAGUGGCGGACGGGUGAGUAACGCGUGGGUAACCUGCCUUAUACAGGGGGAUAACAGUUGGAAACGACUGCUAAUACCGCAUAAGCGCACGGUAUCGCAUGAUACAGUGUGAAAAACUCCGGUGGUAUAAGAUGGACCCGCGUCUGAUUAGCUUGUUGGUGAGGUAACGGCCCACCAAGGCGACGAUCAGUAGCCGGCCUGAGAGGGUGAACGGCCACAUUGGGACUGAGACACGGCCCAAACUCCUACGGGAGGCAGCAGUGGGGAAUAUUGCACAAUGGGGGAAACCCUGAUGCAGCGACGCCGCGUGAGUGAUGAAGUAUUUCGGUAUGUAAAACUCUGUCAGCAGGGAAGAUAAUGACGGUACCUGACUAAGAAGCACCGGCUAAAUACGUG